UACGGAGGAUGCGAGCGUUAUCCGGAUUUAUUGGGUUUAAAGGGUGCGCAGGCGGAGGCACAAGUCAGCGGUAAAAUCGCGGGGCUCAACCCCGCUCCGCCGUUGAAACUGUGUCCCUUGAGUGCGCGAAGGGUAGGCGGAAUGCGUGGUGUAGCGGUGAAAUGCAUAGAUAUCACGCAGAACUCCGAUCGCGAAGGCAGCCUACCGGCGCGCGACUGACGCUCAUGCACGAAAGCGUGGGUAUCGGACAGG
rnacentral:rRNA from 1 species